AUACUAAAAAGUAAUUUUUUAACCCUAAGUAUUUAAAGUUAUGUACUUGAAAUUUGAAGAAUUUGGCGGUGAUUUAGUCUUGUCAGAGGAACCUGUUUUUGAAUCGAUACACCACGAAGAAUCUUACUUAAGCUUGUAAAGGCAGUAUGUAUACCAUCAUUAUUAGGUAAUUUUUAUAGAAUAAAUUACUGAACGAUAAUUAUUAACAAUAUUAAAUAUAUUAGAUCAAGGUGCAGCUAAUGCUUAAGUUAAAAUGGGUUACAAUAAAAAUUUAUUUAAUACGGAAUAUUAAUUCAAAUAAUUAAUUAGAAGGAGGAUUUGAUUGUAAAUUAAAUUUAAUAUGUUUAGUUAGAUAUAAGCUCUAAAUCAUGUACAUAUCGCCCGUCGCUUUCAUUACCAAAAUGAGAU
rnacentral:rRNA from 1 species